AACGCGAAAGGGGCUUCGGCCCUGAGUAGAGUGGCGAACGGGUGAGUAACGCGUGGGUGAUCUACCUUUGAGUGGGGGAUAACGUUCCGAAAGGAGCGCUAAUACCGCAUGAUGUUCCGGGUUUAGAGACCUGGAAACCAAAGCCGGGGACCGCAAGGCCUGGCGCUCGAAGAGGAGCCCGCGUCCGAUUAGCUAGUUGGCGGGGUAAUGGCCCACCAAGGCGACGAUCGGUAGCCGGCCUGAGAGGGCGGACGGCCACACUGGAACUGAGACACGGUCCAGACUCCUACGGGAGGCAGCAGUGGGGAAUUGUUCACAAUGGGCGCAAGCCUGAUGACGCAACGCCGCGUGGGGGAUGGAGGUCUUCGGAUUGUAAACCCCUGUCGAACGGGACGAAAGACCCGGGAGCUAAUCAUCCUGGGAGUGACGGUACCGUUAAAGGAAGCCACGGCUAACUCUGUGCCAGCAGCCGCGGUAAUACAGAGGUGGCAGGCGUUGUUCGGAAUUACUGGGCGUAAAGGGCGCGUAGGCGGCCAUCUAAGUCAGACGUGAAAUCCCCCGGCUUAACCUGGGAACUGCGUCUGAUACUGGACGGCUCG
rnacentral:rRNA from 1 species